CUACGGGAUGCAGCAGUCGAGAAUCUUUCGCAAUGGGGGAAACCCUGACGAAGCGACGCCGCGUGGGCGAUGAAGGCCUUCGGGUUGUAAAGCCCUGUCACGAGGGACGAAUGCACAAUGGUUAAUAACCUGAGUGUUUGACGGUACCUCGAGAGGAAGCCACGGCUAACUCCAUGCCAGCAGCCGCGGUAAUACGGAGGUGGCAAGCGUUGUUCGGAUUCAUUGGGUGUAAAGGGCAUGUAGGCGGCCUCUUAAGUCGAUUGUGAAAUCCCUUGGCUUAACCAAGGAACUGCAAUCGAUACUGAGAGGCUUGAGUGCAGAAGAGGAAAGCGGAAUUCCCGGUGUAAGAGUGAAAUCUGUAGAUAUCGGGAGGAACACCAGUGGCGAAGGCGGCUUUCUGGUCUGCAACUGACGCUGAAAUGCGAAAGCUAGGGGAGCAAACAGGAUUAGAUACCCCCGUAGUC
rnacentral:rRNA from 1 species